CAGCCAGCCACCAGACAGACAGAUACAAAUACAGACACAGACAGAAAGACAGGAUAGACAGACAGACAGAAAGACAGAAAAGGACUGAGAGGACAGACAGAAAGACAGACACACAGAGACAGACAAACACACAGACAGACAAAAAGGUAGACAGAUGAACAGAAGUAUAGAUGGACAGACAACAGAAGGAUAGAGAGGCAGACAGACAGAUGGAUGGACAGACAGAUGGAUGAACAGAUGUAUGGAUGGACAGGUCAACAGAUGCACACACAGAAAGACAGAUAGACAAAUAAACAGAUAGGCAGAAAGGCAAACAGACAGACAGAUGGACAGAUGGUCAGAGAGUUAGUUACACAGACAGAGAGACAGGCAGACAGACAGACAUAAAGACAGACACAGUGAGAGAAAAACAUGCAUACAUACAUACAGACAGACAGACAGAACCAGCCAGCCAAACAUAUAGACAGAUAUACAGAUAGACAACUAGACAGUCAGAGGGACAGGAUAGACAUACAGACAGACACACAGAAACAGACAGAAGGGUGGACAGAAGAGUAGACAGAAAGAAGGAUAGACAGACAGAAAGACAGAAAGUAGAAAGACAGACACACAGAAAAAGACAGAAGGGUAGACAGACAGACAGAAGUGUAGACAGACAGACAGAGAGAGGUAGACAGUCAACCAGCCAGCCAUCCUUCCAGACAUAGACAGACAGAUGGACAGACACACAGACAGACAGAAGGUUAGACAGACAGAAAGGAUAUACAGACAGAAAGACAGACUAAAGGAUAGGCAGAAGGACAGACAAUAGAUGGAUAGACAUAUGUACACAGGCAAAGAGAAUGGUAGACAGAAAAACAGAAGGGUAGACAGACCGACAACAGAAGGAUAGAGAGACACAGACAGAUGGAUGGACAAAUGGAUGGACCGAUAGAUGCACACACAGAAAGACAGACAGACAGAUAGACAGACAGGCAAACAGACACAAAGACAUACAGAGAGACACACAGACAGACAGACAGGACAGAUGUAUGGAUGGAUAGGCAGACAGAGACAGACAAACAGGCCAUCAGACAGAUGGACAGAUAGACAGACACACAGAGAGAACGACAUAUAUACAGACAGACAGACAGAGCCAGCCAGCCAGAUAGACAGAUAUACAGACAGACACACAGACAGUCAGACAAGGAUAGAUAGACAGACACAGAAACACACAGACAGACAGAAGGGUAGACAGACAGAUACACAGAUAGACAGGAGACAGACAGAAGGAUAUAGACAGACACAAACAGACAGAAGGAUAGAUGCACAGACAGACAGAUGGAAGGAAGGAUAGACAGAGAGACAAAAAAAUGAUAGGCAGACAGACAGACAGACAGACAGACAGCUGGAUGGACAGAGAAAUGCACACACAGAAAGACAGAUAGACAAAUAGAAAGAUAGGCAGACAGACACAUAGACAUAUAGACAGGCAGGCGACAGGCAGAGAGAAAGACUGAUGGACGAAUGGUUGGACAAAUGGACAGACAGACAGACACACAGACAGAAGGGUAGAUAAACAGAAGGGUAGACAGACAGAGAGACAGACAGAAAGAUAGUGAGACAGACAGACUGACAGGACAGCCAGCCAGCCAUAUAGAUAUACAAACAGAUAUACAGACAGACAUCUAGACAGUCAGAGGCACAGAAGGAUAGACAGACAGACAAACAGAAGCAGACAGACAGAAGUGUAGACAGACAAACAGAAGGGUAGGCAGAAGGAUAGAUAGACAGAAAGAAGGAAAGACAGACAGACUGACACACAGAAACAGACAGAGAGGCACACAGAAACAGACAGAAGUGUAGAAAUACAGAGAGACACAAAUCAGACAUACAUACAUAAAGACAGACAGACAGAGAGACAGAAGGGCAAAAAGACGAAUUGACAGAUGGAUGGAUGGACAGAUGGAUGGACAUAUGGAUGGAUGGAUGGACAGAUAAAUGGAUGGACAGACAGAUGCACACACAAAAAUACUGAUAGACAGACAGACAAAUAGACAGAUAGAAACAAAGAAAGGCAGACAGACAGAUAGACAUACACAGACAGACAGAUGGAUGGACAGAUGGUUGUACAGAUGGAUAGACAGAAGCAGAAAGACAGACAGAUGACAGACAGAUAGACAGAUACACCUAGAGAACGACAUACAUACAUACAGACAGACAGAAAGAGCCAGCCAGAUAGACAUAUAGACAGAUAUACAGACAACUAGACACUCAGACAGGACAGGCAGACACAGACAGACACACAGAAACAAACAGACAGACAGAAGGGUAGACAGACAAAGUGCAGGGUAGACAGAAAGAAGGAUAGACACACAGACACACAGGCAGGCAAAGCGACAGAAGGGUAGACAGAAAGAAUAGACAGACACACGUAAGGUAGACAGACAGACACACAGAAACAGAUAUUAGGGUAAACAGACAGAAAGAAGAUUAGAUAGACAGACAGACAGAAGGACAGAUGGACAGAAGGACAGACAGACAGACAGAAGGACAGACAGACAGAAGGACAGACAUACAGAAGGACAGACAUACAGACAGGAACGGACACAGAAGAGUAGACAGACAGACAGAAGGGUAGAAAGACAGACAGAACGAUAGAGACAGACACAGAGACAUACAUACAGACAUACAGAAGGAUGGAAAGACAAAUUGACAGACUGAUGGAUGGACAGAUAGAUGCACACACAGAAAGACUGAUAGACAAAUAGAUAGAAAGGCAGACAGACAGAUAGACACAGAUAGAUGGAUGGACAGAUGGUUGGAUGGAUGGAUAGACAGACAGAGACAGGCAGAGAGUCAGACAGAUGGACAGACACACCAAAAAGAACAACAUAUAUACAUACACACAUACAGACAGACAGACAGAGCCAGCCAGACAUAUAGACAUAUAGACAAAUAUACAAACAGCUAGACAGUCAGACAGACAAAAGAAUAAACAGAAAGACACACAGACAUACAGAAAAAAACAGUCAGAAGGGUAGACAGAAUGACAGCACGGUAGACAGAAGGAUAGAAAGACAGACAGGUAGAUAGAAGACAGACAGACAGACAGACAGACAGAAGAAUAGACAGAGUCAGAAAGACAGAAGGGUAGACAUACAAACAGAAGGGUAGACGUACAAACAGACAGGCAGUCAGACAGGAUAGACAACAGACAAACAGUCAGAUAGAAAAAUAGACAGACAGAAGACAGACAGACAGAAGUAUGGAGAGAUGGAUAGAUGGACAGCCAGAUAGACACAGAGAGAGGUAGACAGACUCAGCCAGCCAGCCAUCCUUCCAGACAUGGACAGACAGACAGUCAGACACACAGACAGAAGGUUAGACAGACACAAAGAAUACUCAGGCAGGAAGACAGACUGAAGAGUAGACAGAAGGACAGACAAUAGAUGGAUAGGCAUACGCACACAGUGAGACAGAAGGGUGCACAGAAAAACAGAAGGGUAGACAGACAGAUGGAUGGGCAAACAGAUGGAUGGACAGAUAGAUGCACACACAGAAAGAAAGACAGAUACACAGACAGGCAAACAGACAGACAGACAUACAGAGAGACACACAGACAGGAGGAGAGAUGGGUGGAUGGAUGGAUAGACAGACAGAGACAGACAGUCAGACAGAUGGACAGAUAGACAGAUAGACACACCGAACAUACAUACAUACAGAUAGACAGACAGAGCCAGCCAGCCAGAUUGACAUAUAGACAGAUAUACAGACAAACACACAGUCAGACAGAGAGAAGAAUAGACAGACAGACACAGAAACAGACUGACAAACAUAAGGUUAGAUAGAAAGAUAGACAGACAGAAGGAUAUACAGACAGGAGGAUACAGACAGAUACAGACAGUCAUAAGGAUAGAUGGACAGACAGCAAGAUGGAAGGAAGGAUAGACAUACAGACAAACAGAAUGACAGGCAGGCAGGCAGACAGACAGAAUGAUGGACAGACAGAUGGAUAGACAGACAUAUGUACACACAGAAAGACAGAUAUAUAGACAAAUAGAAAGAUAGGCAGACAGACACAUAGACAGAUAGACAAACAAGUAGGCAGACAGGAAGAGCGACAGACUCACCUGAUGGAUGGAUGGUUGGACAAAUGGACAGACAGACAGACACAUAGACAGAAGUGUAGAUAAACAGAAGGGUAGACAGACAGACAGACAGAGGAUAGUGAGACAGACAGACAGGUCAGCCAGCCAGCUAGAAGAGAUAAUGACAGACAUACAGACAGACAUCUAGAUAGAGGCACAGAAGGAUAGACAGACAGACACACGGAAGCAGACAGAAGGGUAGACAGACAAACAGAAGGGUAGACAGAAUAGUUAGAUAGACAGAAGGAAAAACAGACAGAUAGACACACAGAAACAGACAGAAAGAAGGGUAGACAGACAGACAGAAAGUAGAUACAGACAGACAGACAGAAGAAUUGACAGAGAGGCAGACACACAGAAACAGACAGAAGGGUAGACAGACUGGCAGCAGGGUAGACAGAAGGAUAGAAAGGCAGACAGACAGAAGUGUAGAUAUGCAAAAGGAAGUGUAGACAGACUGACAGCAGGGUAGACAGAAUGA
rnacentral:lncRNA from 1 species